GGAUCUUAAGGGCAACAACAUUACCAUUAUACGUCGGACUGACUUCGAAGGAUUGAGUAACCUACAAGUGUUACAGCUACCGGAAAACAGGAUUACCAAAAUUGAGAAGGAAGCUUUCCGCGACCUCUUCGCCAUGGAGAGAUUACGUUUGAACUAUAACCAGAUAACGGAGAUUCCAGAUAUGCUGUUCGCCAACAUGCCGAAACUUUACCGACU
rnacentral:lncRNA from 1 species